rnacentral:lncRNA from 1 species
UUUGGAUCUAAUUGGAAGAGCAUACAUGUAUAGCAGUGUUCUUCUUUAUCAGGUUUCAGCAUGAUCAUCGCAAUUAAGAGAGGAAUAUUGAUGGUGUGGCCUCUCUCUUCUCGCAAGGAAUAUAUAUUUCUCCCAUGAACUUUAAUUUGAUGAUUCGAUUCCCACUUAGCUACCAAUCUAUGCAGCAGAAAAGCUUAAGGGCCAUGCUCUGAUCAAGAACUACUUUCUCAAGGCUCGGAGAGAGCAUCAUUGCAAUUUGCUAAUGUUUUUAUUCCUCCAUUGUGCUUUAUAGUGUUACCUUUUUUUUCCUCAACUACGGAAGAACAUCAAUAUUUGUAGUAAACUAGCU